AAUCUUGCAAAUGAGGCCUUGUGGCCCUCAAAUGGUCCCACACAUUGUGUGGCCAAUUUUAAUUGGUCCAACACAUGUGUGGGCCAUGGGACACAUGGAUAAAUAUUGUGGAAGCUUAAAAGAUGACCUUAAGUCAUCUUUACCACUUCAACACUUAGCAAAUAAAACCAAAAGUUGAAGAGCUUCAACAAGAAGCUCACGGCCAAGACUAAGAAAAAUCAACUCCAUUUCAAGCCAUCCCAAAAUUAUUUCUUUGUUGUAAACCCACUAUUUUGAGGUCCCUAAGUAGCGUGGAAGCAUCGUUGGAGCGAUCAAACCAUCAUUUUUCAUCUUUUGGAAACCCUAGGCUAUUGGAAAGUUGAAGAAGAAAGAUCGUGGGCAGCCCGAAUCAUAGGUUGGAUUUAGCUUGAGUUUGGAUCGUAUUGGAGAGCGUUUGAGGUACAGACGCACAGCUUGGUGAUCCACCUGUUUAGGACACCCCCUUCUGCUAUUCGGAGUGCUCCUCUCAUCCCGGAGCUUAUAUUUUUGGUAUAUAUACUUGUUAGUGCAUUUAUACAUAUUCGUUCAUGGGUACGGCGGGGCCCUGUCCUGUCAUAUGAUUCUGUCGGUCUGUUUAGAGGUCUGUGGACAUGUUUGUGGGUUAGGGUCUUUCUGUAUGAAUGUAUGUACAUGUCGUUUGGGCGAUCCCAUACGCCGAGGCGGCCGGUCCGCA